CAGAGCGAACGCUGGCGGAAUGCUUAACACAUGCAAGUCGCACGGGGGCUUCGGCCUUAGUGGCGGACGGGUGAGUAACGCGUAGGAAUGCGUCCGAGGGUGGGGAUAACGUUGGGAAACUGACGCUAAUACCGCAUAUCCCCUGAGGGGGAAAGCAGAGAUGCGCCCACGGAGCAGCCUGCGUCCGAUUAGCUAGUUGGUUAGGUAAAGGCUGACCAAGGCGACGAUCGGUAGCUGGUCUGAGAGGAUGAUCAGCCACACUGGAACUGAGACACGGUCCAGACUCCUACGGGAGGCAGCAGUGGGGAAUAUUGGACAAUGGGCGCAAGCCUGAUCCAGCAAUUCCGCGUGGGUGAAGAAGGUCUUCGGAUUGUAAAGCCCUUUCGUUGGGGACGAUGAUGACGGUACCCAAAGAAGAAGCCCCGGCUAACUUCGUG
rnacentral:rRNA from 1 species